rnacentral:misc_RNA from 1 species
GGGGUGAUACUAGGUUUGGUAAAAGACGAGGAACGGGUUCUUUUGCCAGGACACCUUCUGAUUCAUACCAGAGGAUGAAGCUUAAUCAGUCCGUUUCUGGUCAUGCUGGUCCUGGUAGGGGUCGAGGAAGAGAAUCUGGUGCUUGGGGUCCCUGUGAAUCUAGGUUCGGCUCUGUUGAUAUUGCAUCUCAAUUGGUGCCGCCUCUUCUUUAUGCUGGAAGGGGGCUGCAAAAUGUUUCUAGUGGACAGAGUUCGUCUUGGAAUGCAUUUGGAAUGGUUCCAGGAAUGCCCAAUGGAGGGCUUGAUACACUUCAUACCCUUGGUUUACAGGGAACACUUCGGACAGCCUUGAAUCCUGCCAUGAGCAUGGGAAUUCCAAGGCAAAUGUGUAGAGACUUCGAGGAGCGUGGAUUUUGCCUAAGAGGAGAUAUGUGCCCACUGGAGCAUGGUGUAAAUCGUAUCGU